AUACGGAGGAUCCGAGCGUUAUCCGGAUUUAUUGGGUUUAAAGGGUGCGUAGGCGGCCUUUUAAGUCAGCGGUGAAAGUCUGUGGCUCAACCAUAGAAUUGCCGUUGAAACUGGGAGGCUUGAGUAUGUUUGAGGCAGGCGGAAUGGGUGGGGUAGCGGUGAAAUGCUUAGAUAUCACGCAGAACCCCGAUUGCGAAGGCAGCCUGCCAAGCCAUGACUGACGCUGAUGCACGAAAGCGUGGGGAUCAAACAGGAUUAGAUACCCUGGUAGUCCACGCAGUAAACGAUGAUCACUAGCUGUUUGCGAUACAGUGUAAGCGGCACAGCGAAAGCGUUAAGUGAUCCACCUGGGGAGUACGCCGGCAACGGUGAAACUUAAAGGAAUUGACGGGG
rnacentral:rRNA from 1 species